rnacentral:rRNA from 3 species
GAUGAACGCUGGCUACAGGCUUAACACAUGCAAGUCGAGGGGAAACGGCAUUGAGUGCUUGCACUGAAUGGACGUCGACCGGCGCACGGGUGAGUAACGCGUAUCCAACCUUCCCGUUACUGCGGGAUAACCUGCCGAAAGGCAGACUAAUACCGCAUGUUCUUCGAUGACGGCAUCAGAUUCGAAGCAAAGAUCCGUCGGUAACGGAGGGGGAUGCGUCUGAUUAGCUGGUUGGCGGGGCGACGGCCCACCAAGGCGACGAUCAGUAGGGGUUCUGAGAGGAAGGUCCCCCACAUUGGAACUGAGACACGGUCCAACUCCUACGGGAGGCAGCAGUGAGGAAUAUUGGUCAAUGGGCGGAAGCCUGAACCAGCCAAGUAGCGUGCAGGAGGACGGCCCUACGGGUGUGUAAACUGCUUUUAUGCGGGGAUAAAGUGAGGGACGCGUCCCUUUUUGCAGGUACCGCAUGAAUAAGGACCGGCUAAUUCCGUGCCAGCAGCCGCGGUAAUACGGAAGGUCCGGGCGUUAUCCGGAUUUAUUGGGUUUAAAGGGAGCGUAGGCCGUGGAUUAAGCGUGUUGUGAAAUGCAGGUGCUCAACGUCUGCACUGCAGCGCGAACUGGUCCACUUGAGUGUGCGCAACGCAGGCGGAAUUCGUCGUGUAGCGGUGAAAUGCUUAGAUAUGACGAAGAACUCCGAUUGCGAAGGCAGCUUGCGGGAGCACAACUGACGCUGAAGCUCGAAAGUGCGGGUAUCGAACAGGAUUAGAUACCCUGGUAGUCCGCACGGUAAACGAUGGAUGCCCGUUGUCAGGCUGUUUCAGCCUGGUGACCAAGCGAGAGCAUUAAGCAUCCCACCUGGGGAGUACGCCGGCAACGGUGAAACUCAAAGGAAUUGACGGGGGCCCGCACAAGCGGAGGAUCAUGUGGUUUAAUUCGAUGAUACGCGAGGAACCUGACCCGGGGCUUGAAUUGCAGACGAACGAUUCAGAGAUGAUGAGGCCCUUCGGGGCGUCUGUGACAGGUGCUGCAUGGGUUGUCGUCAGCUCGUGCCGUGAGGUGUCAGCCUAAAGUGCCAUAGCGAGCGCCAGCCCCUUUCUUCAGUUUGCACAGGGUGAUGCCUGGGCACUCUGAAAACCCUGCCACCGCAAGGGUGUGAGGAAGGGUGGCAAUACGUCAAACACCACGACCCUACGUUCGGGGCAACACAGUU